UGGGGAAUAUUGCGCAAUGGGCGAAAGCCUGACGCAGCGACGCCGCGUGGAGGAUGAAGGUUUUCGGAUUGUAAACUCCUGUUAAGUGGGAAGAAAAGCCUGUUUUUAAUACAGGCAGGUUAUGACGGUACCACUAGAGAAAGCACCGGCUAACUUCGUGCCAGCAGCCGCGGUAAUACGAGGGGUGCAAGCGUUAUUCGGAAUAAUUGGGCGUAAAGGGUGCGUAGACGGCCUGUUAAGUCUGUUGUUAAAUUCUCCGGCUCAACCGGGGGGCUGCAAUGGAAACUGGCGGACUAGAGGGUGAGAGAGAGAAGUGGAAUUCCCGGAGUAGCGGUAAAAUGCGUAGAUCUCGGGAGGAACACCGAUGGCGAAGGCAGCUUCUUGGCUCAUUCCUGACGUUGAUGCACGAAAGCGUGGGGAGCAAACAGGAUUAGAUACCCCCGUAGUCC
rnacentral:rRNA from 1 species